CAGACGUGCACAACGGUCAGGAGUAAUUCUUGACCAUUCCUCUUUACAGAACUGUUUCAGUUCAGCAGUAUUCUUGGGAUGUCUGGUGUGAAUCGCUUUCUUGAGGUCAUGCCACAGCAUCUCAAUCGGGUUGAGGUCAGGACUCUGACUGGGCCACUUCAGAAGGCGUAUUUUCUUCUGUUGUUGAUUUACUUCUAUGCUUUGGGUCAUUGUCCUGUUGCAACACCCAUCUUCUGUUGAGCUUCAGCUGGUAGACAGAUGGCCUUAAGUUC